rnacentral:lncRNA from 1 species
GAAUGUGAGGGUGAUCUGGUUGCAACACCUGUCACCCCACUGAUCACCAGGGCUGAUUCAGCUGAUCUGCCUGCCUAGGCAAGUAUCCCUCCUCUCUCACCCCUCCGUGUGCAUCGCUCCUGAAGCUGUGUGCUCAGUCAAAGAGACAACCAUCUCUGAUAGAGGAGGACCGGUCUUCGGUCAAGGGUAGCUGUGCUACCUACCCUACUAGAACAUCCAAACAAACUCUCAAGAUC